rnacentral:rRNA from 1 species
UACGUAGGUGGCAAGCGUUGUCCGGAUUUACUGGGCGUAAAGAGCGCGCAGGCGGUCGUUCAAGUCGCGUGUGAAAGCCCCCGGCUCAACUGGGGAGGGUCACGCGAUACUGAUCGACUCGAAGGCAGGAGAGGGUAGUGGAAUUCCCGGUGUAGUGGUGGAAUGCGUAGAGAUCCGGAAGAACACCGGUGGCGAAGGCGGCCUGCUGGGCAGUAGCUGACACUGAGGCGCGACAGCGUGGGGAGCAAACAGG